AUUGAACGCUGGCGGCAUGCCUUACACAUGCAAGUCGAACGGCAGCACGGGAGCUUGCUCCUGGUGGCGAGUGGCGAACGGGUGAGUAAUACAUCGGAACGUACCCAGGAGUGGGGGAUAACGUAGCGAAAGUUACGCUAAUACCGCAUAUUCUGUGAGCAGGAAAGCGGGGGAUCGCAAGACCUCGCGCUCUUGGAGCGGCCGAUGUCGGAUUAGCUAGUUGUGGAGGUAAAAGCUCACCAAGGCGACGCUCCGUAGCAGGUCUGAGAGGAUGAUCUGCCACACUGGGACUGAGACACGGCCCAGACUCCUACGGGAGGCAGCAGUGGGGAAUUUUGGACAAUGGGGGCAACCCUGAUCCAGCCAUGCCGCGUGAGUGAAGAAGGCCGUCGGGUUGUAAAGCUCUUUCGGCGGGGAAGAAAUGGCAACGGCUAAUAUCCGUUGUUGAUGACGGUACCCGCAUAAGAAGCACCGGCUAACUACGUGCCAGCCGCCGCAGUAA
rnacentral:rRNA from 1 species